AAUCAACGCUGGCGGCGUGCCUCAGACAUGCGAGUCGAACGAUUAAAGCUCUCUUCGGAGAGUGCAUAGAGUGGCGCACGGGUGAGUAACACGUAAGUAAUCUACCUUCGAGUGGGGAAUAACAUCGGGAAACCGAUGCUAAUACCGCAUAAUGCAGCGGCAUCAUAAGAUGACAGUUGUUAAAGAUUUAUCGCUUGAAGAGGAGCUUGCGGCAGAUUAGCUAGUUGGUAAGGUAAUGGCUUACCAAGGCUACGAUCUGUAACCGGUCUAAGAGGACGGUCGGUCACACUGAC
rnacentral:rRNA from 1 species